GCCUCAAUAGAUCAACGGUAGAGAUCACCCUUGCCAUUAUAUAUGUAUAAUCCUGUAGAAUGGUUUCCAAGGACGAUGUGGGUUCGAUUCCCACUUGAGGCA